UAUUUAGGUAGCGCCUCGUGAAUUCAUCUCCGGGGGUAGAGCACUGUUUCGGCAAGGGGGUCAUCCCGACUUACCAACCCGAUGCAAACUGCGAAUACCGGAGAAUGUUAUCACGGGAGACACACGGCGGGUGCUAACGUCCGUCGUGAAGAGGGAAACAACCCAGACCGCCAGCUAAGGUCCCAAAGUCAUGGUUAAGUGGGAAACGAUGUGGGAAGGCCCAGACAGCCAGGAUGUUGGCUUAGAAGCAGCCAUCAUUUAAAGAAAGCGUAAUAGCUCACUGGUCGAGUCGGCCUGCGCGGAAGAUGUAACGGGGCUAAACCAUGCACCGAAGCUGCGGCAGCGACGCUGAUGCGUUGUUGGGUAGGGGAGCGUUCUGUAAGCCUGUGAAGGUGUGCUGUGAGGCAUGCUGGAGGUAUCAGAAGUGCGAAUGCUGACAUAAGUAACGAUAAAGCGGGUGAAAAGCCCGCUCGCCGGAAGACCAAGGGUUCCUGUCCAACGUUAAUCGGGGCAGGGUGAGUCGACCCCUAAGGCGAGGCCGAAAGGCGUAGUCGAUGGGAAACAGGUUAAUAUUCCUGUACUUGGUGUUACUGCGAAGGGGGGACGGAGAAGGCUAUGUUGGCCGGGCGACGGUUGUCCCGGUUUAAGCGUGUAGGCUGGUUUUCCAGGCAAAUCCGGAAAAUCAAGGCUGAGGCGUGAUGACGAGGCACUACGGUGCUGAAGCAACAAAUGCCCUGCUUCCAGGAAAAGCCUCUAAGCAUCAGGUAACAUCAAAUCGUACCCCAAACCGACACAGGUGGUCAGGUAGAGAAUACCAAGGCGCUUGAGAGAACUCGGGUGAAGGAACUAGGCAAAAUGGUGCCGUAACUUCGGGAGAAGGCACGCUGAUAUGUAGGUGAAGUCCCUCGCGGAUGGAGCUGAAAUCAGUCGAAGAUACCAGCUGGCUGCAACUGUUUAUUAAAAACACAGCACUGUGCAAACACGAAAGUGGACGUAUACGGUGUGACGCCUGCCCGGUGCCGGAAGGUUAAUUGAUGGGGUCAGCGCAAGCGAAGCUCUUGAUCGAAGCCCCGGUAAACGGCGGCCGUAACUAUAACGGUCCUAAGGUAGCGAAAUUCCUUGUCGGGUAAGUUCCGACCUGCACGAAUGGCGUAAUGAUGGCCAGGCUGUCUCCACCCGAGACUCAGUGAAAUUGAACUCGCUGUGAAGAUGCAGUGUACCCGCGGCAAGACGGAAAGACCCCGUGAACCUUUACUAUAGCUUGACACUGAACAUUGAGCCUUGAUGUGUAGGAUAGGUGGGAGGCUUAGAAGUGUGGACGCCAGUCUGCAUGGAGCCGACCUUGAAAUACCACCCUUUAAUGUUUGAUGUUCUAACGUUGACCCGUAAUCCGGGUUGCGGACAGUGUCUGGUGGGUAGUUUGACUGGGGCGGUCUCCUCCUAAAGAGUAACGGAGGAGCACGAAGGUUGGCUAAUCCUGGUCGGACAUCAGGAGGUUAGUGCAAUGGCAUAAGCCAGCUUGACUGCGAGCGUGACGGCGCGAGCAGGUGCGAAAGCAGGUCAUAGUGAUCCGGUGGUUCUGAAUGGAAGGGCCAUCGCUCAACGGAUAAAAGGUACUCCGGGGAUAACAGGCUGAUACCGCCCAAGAGUUCAUAUCGACGGCGGUGUUUGGCACCUCGAUGUCGGCUCAUCACAUCCUGGGGCUGAAGUAGGUCCCAAGGGUAUGGCUGUUCGCCAUUUAAAGUGGUACGCGAGCUGGGUUUAGAACGUCGUGAGACAGUUCGGUCCCUAUCUGCCGUGGGCGCUGGAGAACUGAGGGGGGCUGCUCCUAGUACGAGAGGACCGGAGUGGACGCAUCACUGGUGUUCGGGUUGUCAUGCCAAUGGCACUGCCCGGUAGCUAAAUGCGGAAGAGAUAAGUGCUGAAAGCAUCUAAGCACGAAACUUGCC
rnacentral:rRNA from 1 species